rnacentral:rRNA from 1 species
AACGAACGCUGGCGGCAGGCCUAACACAUGCAAGUCGAGCGAAGCCUUCGGGCUUAGCGGCGGACGUGUGAGUAACGCGUGGGAACGUGCCCUUUGGUACGGAAUAGCCACGGGAAACUGGGAGUAAUACCGUAUGUGGUCGAGAGACGAAAGAUUUAUCGCCAAAGGAUCGGCCCGCGUUGGAUUAGGUAGUUGGUGGGGUAAUGGCCUACCACGCCGACGAUCCAUAGAUGGUUUGAGAGGAUGAUCAACCACACUGGGACUGAGACACGGCCCAGACUCCUACGGGAGGCAGCAGUGGGGAAUCUUAGACAAUGGGGGAAACCCUGGACUAGCCAUGCCGCGUGGUCGAUGAAGGCCUUAGGGUUGUAAAGAUCUUUCAGUGGGGAAGAUAAUGACUGUACCCACAGAAGAAGCCCCGGCUAACUCCGUGCCAGCCGCCGCCGUAAAAC